rnacentral:rRNA from 1 species
GAGUUUGAUCCUGGCUCAGGAUGAACGCUGACAGAAUGCUUAACACAUGCAAGUCUUUGGCGAAUCUGUGCUUGCACAGGCUAGCCAAGGCGGACGGGUGAGUAACGCGUAAAGAACUUGCCCUGCAGACAGGGAUAACAGACGGAAACGACUGACAACACCUGAUACAGUUGCCGGCACGCAUGUGCCUGGCAAUGAAAAGAGAUGCUGCGGGAGAGCUUUGCGUCCUAUUAGCUUGUUGGCGGGGUAACGGCCCACCAAGGCGAUGAUAGGUAGCCGGCCUGAGAGGGUGAACGGCCACAAGGGGACUGAGAUACGGCCCUUACUCCUACGGGAGGCAGCAGUGGGGAAUAUUGGACAAUGGGGGCAACCCUGAUCCAGCAAUUCUGUGUGCACGAUGAAGGUUUUCGGAUUGUAAAGUGCUUUCAGCAGGGAAGAAGGAA